rnacentral:lncRNA from 1 species
CCUGCCCGAAACGCUUUUCGUAAUAGUGGCUUUAGGCAUUGUAUGUACUAGCUCUAUCUAUAACUCGAUCAAUUUAUGUAAAAUCUCUUGUAUGUAUGUACCUUACCUAAAUACUUUUUUUUUCCAACAAAUGUAGAAGACAAGUUUUCAUAAAGAUAUGUAGAAAAGUACCUAUUUGAAGAGGUAGUGCCUAUCCAAAUAGGUAGAAUAUGUUCAAAUUUGCAAUAAUCGAGUCCAACAAAUGUGGAAAACGGUAAUUUCAUAAGGAAAGAAAAGUACCUAUUUGAAUAGGACCUGUCCAAAUAGGUAGAAAUGUUCAAAUUUGCAAUAAUUAGGUCCAAAUGUGGAAAACUCUAAUUAUCAGGAAAGAAAAGUACCUGUUUGAAUAGGUAGUACCUAUUUGAAUAGGUAGUGCCUAUUUGAAUAGGUAGUAGAUCCAAAUUGGUAGAAUAUGGUCAAUUUGCAAUAAUAAAGUCCAAAUGUGGAAAACUGUAAUUUCAUCAGGAAAGAAAAGUACCUAUUUGAAUAGGUAGAAAUUACCUAUUUGAAUAGGUAGUACCUAUCCAAAUAGGUAGAAUAUGUUCAAAUUUGCAAUAAUAAAGUCCAACAAAUGUGGAAGACUCAUUUAGAAAAGUACCUAUUUGAAUAGGUACAAAGUACCUAUUUGAAUAGGUACAAAGUACCUAUUUGAAUAGGUAGUACUUAUCCAAAUCGAUAGAAUAUGUUCAUAUUUGUAAUAAAGUCCAAUAUGGAAAACAGUAAUUUCAUAAAGGUACCUAUUUGAGUAGGUAUAAGUACCUAUUUGAGUAGGUAUAAGUACCUAUUUGAGUAGGUAUAAGUACCUAUUUGAGUAGGUAUAAGUACCUAUUUGAGUAGGUAUAAGUACCUAUUUGAGUAGGUAUAAGUACCUAUUUGAGUAGGUAUAAGUACCUAUUUGAGUAGGUAUAAGUACCUAUUUGAGUAGGUAUAAGUACCUAUUUGAGUAGGUAUAAGUUCCUAUUUGAGUAGGUAUAAGUACCUAUUUGAGUAGGUAUAAGUACCUAUUUGAGUAGGUAUAAGUACCUAUUUGAGUAGGUAUAAGUACCUAUUUGAGUAGGUAUAAGUACCUAUUUGAGUAGGUAUAAGUACCUAUUUGAGUAGGUAUAAGUACCUAUUUGAGUAGGUAUAAGUACCUAUUUGAGUAGGUAUAAGUACCUAUUUGAGUAGGUAUAAGUACCUAUUUGAGUAGGUAUAAGUACCUAUUUGAGUAGGUAUAAGUACCUAUUUGAGUAGGUAUAAGUACCUAUUUGAGUAGGUAUAAGUACCUAUUUGAGUAGGUAUAAGUACCUAUUUGAGUAGGUAUAAGUACCUAUUUGAGUAGGUAUAAGUACCUAUUUGAGUAGGUAUAAGUACCUAUUUGAGUAGGUAUAAGUACCUAUUUGAGUAGGUAUAAGUACCUAUUUGAGUAGGUAUAAGUACCUAUUUGAGUAGGUAUAAGUACCUAUUUGAGUAGGUAUAAGUACCUAUUUGAGUAGGUAUAAGUACCUAUUUGAGUAGGUAUAAGUACCUAUUUGAGUAGGUAUAAGUACCUAUUUGAGUAGGUAUAAGUACCUAUUUGAGUAGGUAUAAGUACCUAUUUGAGUAGGUAUAAGUACCUAUUUGAGUAGGUAUAAGUACCUAUUUGAGUAGGUAUAAGUACCUAUUUGAGUAGGUAUAAGUACCUAUUUGAGUAGGUAUAAGUACCUAUUUGAGUAGGUAUAAGUACCUAUUUGAGUAGGUAUAAGUACCUAUUUGAGUAGGUAUAAGUACCUAUUUGAGUAGGUAUAAGUACCUAUUUGAGUAGGUAUAAGUACCUAUUUGAGUAGGUAUAAGUACCUAUUUGAGUAGGUAUAAGUACCUAUUUGAGUAGGUAUAAGUACCUAUUUGAGUAGGUAUAAGUACCUAUUUGAGUAGGUAUAAGUACCUAUUUGAGUAGGUAUAAGUACCUAUUUGAGUAGGUAUAAGUACCUAUUUGAGUAGGUAUAAGUACCUAUUUGAAUAGGUUGUAGAUCCAAAUUGGUAGAAUAUGCUCAGAUUUGCAAUAAUAAAGUCCAACAAAUGUGGAAAACUCUAAUUUCAUCAGGAAAGAAAAGUACCUAUUUGAAUAGGUAUAAGUACCUAUUUGAAUAGGUAGGACCUAUUUGAAUAGGUUGGACCUAUUUGAAUAGGUUGUAGAUCCAAAUUGGUAGAAUAUGCUCAGAUUUGCAAUAAUAAAGUCCAACAAAUGUGGAAAACUCUCUAAUUUCAUCAGGAAAGAAAAGUACCUAUUUGAAUAGGUAUAAGUACCUAUUUGAAUAGGUAGGACCUAUUUGAAUAGGUUGGACCUAUUUGAAUAGGUUGUAGAUCCAAAUUGGUAGAAUAUGCUCAGAUUUGCAAUAAUAAAGUCCAACAAAUGUAGAAAACUCUCUAAUUUCAUCAGGAAAGAAAAGUACCUAUUUGAAUAGGUAUAAGUACCUAUUUGAAUAGGUAGGACCUAUUUGAAUAGGUAGGACCUAUUUGAAUAGGUAGGACCUAUUUGAAUAGGUAGGACCUAUUUGAAUAGGUUGAACCUAUUUGAAUAGGUUGUAGAUCCAAAUUAGUAGAAUAUGCUCAGAUUUACAAUAAUAAAGUCCAACAAAUGUGGAAAACUCUCUAAUUUCAUCAGGAAAGAAAAGUACCUAUUUGAAUAGGUAUAAGUACCUAUUUGAAUAGGUAGGACCUAUUUGAAUAGGUUGGACCUAUUUGAAUAGGUUGUAGAUCCAAAUUGGUAGAAUAUGCUCAGAUUUGCAAUAAUAAAGUCCAACAAAUGUGGAAAACUCUCUAAUUUCAUCAGGAAAGAAAAGUACCUAUUUGAAUAGGUAUAAGUACCUAUUUGAAUAGGUAGGACCUAUUUGAAUAGGUUGGACCUAUUUGAAUAGGUUGUAGAUCCAAAUUGGUAGAAUAUGCUCAGAUUUGCAAUAAUAAAGUCCAACAAAUGUAGAAAACUCUCUAAUUUCAUCAGGAAAGAAAAGUACCUAUUUGAAUAGGUAUAAGUACCUAUUUGAAUAGGUAGGACCUAUUUGAAUAGGUAGGACCUAUUUGAAUAGGUUGUAGAUCCAAAUUGGUAGAAUAUGCUCAGAUUUGCAAUAAUAAAGUCCAACAAAUGUGGGAAAAGUCUAAUUUCAUCAGGAAAGAAAAGUACCUAUUUGAAUAGGUAGGACCUAUUUAAAUAGGUUGUAGAUCCAAAUAGAUAGAAUAUGCUCAGAUUUGCAAUAAUAAAGUCCAACAAAUGU